GAAAUUAAUUUCUCUCCAAUCUAAUAAUUUCCAAUCGAUUGGCUUUCGCCAAUUUCAAUUUCAUUGGCCUUUCACCGCCAUAAAAAUCGUACAAUCUUUCGUACAAUCUCUCAAAUAAAUACAUAAUAAUAGAAAGAGCAGUGUACCGGCGCUGCCAGUUCCUCGAAGACGCCUUUUCUUCGAGCACAACCGGCCGCAUUUUCUACACGGAGGAGAAUUAUUCGCCCGAUAUCUCACUGGAUGGGGAUCUCGUCGCAUAAUAGCCUAUCCCCCACGGUUUCUAUCGAUCCGAUACGCUCGACGGGCGUUGGAAUAAAAUCGAGGAUCGAGGGAAUGCACGGCCGAUCAACCAAUCGAUAUCCAAUCGGAUCGAUCGGUUUCGACGAUCGGACAAUAUGAGCGUGACAAAGAGGCCACUCCACGCUCGUUUCGAUCGCUUUUACAACGAAAUAUUCCUCGCCUCGUUUUCUCUUCCAGAAUCAAAUGGAAUAAUACCACGCAUCCCCUACUUCCACGCGGAGAAGGAAACUUUCGAAUAUGCAAAUUCCACCUUUUACCGGUUUUAAUCUUUCAUACACGCGUAUUAUGUAACUCGAAAGGUUAUUUUGCGUGCAUCGUUAUUUUGGAUAUCGCGAGCCAAAACGAGCGAUAAUGGGACGGCAUGCAUCUAAUCGAGACGGAUCAGUUUAAAAUAAUUUUUAUCUUAUUCUAUUUUUUUUUUUUUUAGAAAAAGUCACUUUUCCUUUGCCUCGGUCUAAUUAAAUCACACAUCUUUUCGUACAUCCUUUCAUUUAUGCACACAUCUUGAUCUGAAGAUAAAAUUAUUAUUUCUUGCCACGUGAAAAAGAAAAAAAGAAGAUUUCUUAUUUUUUAUUUUCAAAGGUACAAUUUUCCUAAUAUUAUUCCUUGAUUAAUUCAAUAAUUCAACUUCCAGGCAACCUUUCUUCGACCAUGAAAAAUGACAUGAAGCAAUCGUGUGAUUCGCUCCCUUUUUCAUCUCCUUAGAAAGAGAAGGAGAAAGAGAGAGAGCAUGGAAUUUUGCCGCGUUCCCAUGAAACACGGUAGAUUAACUCUUCCGACGAGUUGUUGGUUCGAAAAUCGUUGCCGGUUCGUGCGUCCGCUAAACUUUUACUUUGCAAAUCGAUAGUGGUAACAGGCGGAUCGUUCCAUCGUCACGGGAAUCCGCGUGGCUCGUGAGAAAGUUAGCAACGCGUUUUGAUCUUUUAAUAAGGGAAUAAUCGUGGUCGAGAUGGAAGAGAUUUCGAUCUCGUUGAUUUGAAGUUCGAGAGGCAAUAACGAUAGACAGAAUCGAGAGAUGAGAUUCCUUGUGGAGUGUAAAUAUUAUUAUUUGAUCUAAAACUGCGCAAAAAGUCGCUGGAGGAUAAAACAAUGUGAUAACUAAUUGUUAAGAAUAUUAUAGAAGAAGAAUCGUGGUAGCCGUGAUUAAUUAAUUAAGGACGGAUCGAUCGAGUCGAGACGAGUUGAAGAAGAGCAAUUUCAUCUUUAAUGGCGGCUCGUCGUAAGAAGUUGGGCCGUGAAAAUUAAUGACGUGCCCGUGCAAUGUUAUAGCACAUUAAUUAUUUAGAACGAUUAUCCAUAGUUCGAAAGGAGAGUAUCGGUUAAUCCGCUUUCGUGCCGCGGUAAAACGGAGCCUUCCAGCAAUGGGGGAGUAUAAGUACUUGUUCUAUUAAAAUUUUUUCCAAUCCCCAAGGUUUGUCGAACUUUCACAAUGUUUAAAAAAAAAAAAAA